rnacentral:rRNA from 1 species
GACGAACGCUGGCGGCGUGCUUAACACAUGCAAGUCGAACGGAAAGGCCCCUUUGGGGGUACUCGAGCGGUGAACGGGUGCGUAACACGUGAGUAACCUUCCCUUGCCUUCGGGACAACUUUAGGUAACUGGGGCCAAUACCGGAUAGGAAUCCUUGCUUCAUGGUGGGGGUUGGAAAGUUUCGGCGGGUUUGGAUGUACUCGCGGGUUAUCAGCUUGCUGGUGGGGUAGUGGCUUACCAAGGCUUCGUCGGGUAGCCGGCCUGCGUGGGCGACCGGCCACAUUGGGACUGACGGACGGCCGAGACACCGACGGGAGGCAGAAGGGGGGAAUAUUGCAGGAGGGGCGGAGGCCUGGUGCAGAAGGGCCGCGGGCGGGAAAACGGCCUUCGGGUUGAAAAACGAUUUCGGCAGGAGCGAAGCUUGUGGUGACGGUACCUGCAGAAAAAGCACCGGCUAACUACGUG